AUUGAACGCUGGCGGCAGGCCUAACACAUGCAAGUCGAGCGGAUGAAGGGAGCUUGCUCCUGUAUUCAGCUGCGGACGGGUGAGUAAUGCCUAGGAAUCUGCCUGGUAGUGGGGGAUAACGUCCGUACACGGGCGCUAAUACCGCAUACGUCCUGAGGGAGAAAGGGGGGGAUCUUCGGACCUCACGCUAUUAGAUGAGCCUAGGUCGGAUUAGCUAGUUGGUGGGGUAAAGGCGUACCAAGGCGACGAUCCGUAACUGGUCUGAGAGGAUGAUCAGACACACUGGAACUGAGACACGGUCCAGACUCCUACGGGAGGCAGCAGUGGGGAAUAUUGGACAAUGGGCGAAAGCCUGAUGCAGCCAUGCCGCGUGUGUGAAGAAGGUCUUCGGAUUGUAAAGCACUUUAAGUUGGGAGGAAGGGCAGUAAGUUAAUCCCUUGCUGUUUUGACGUUACCAACAGAAUAAGCACCGGCUAACUUCGUG
rnacentral:rRNA from 1 species